GCGCCCGUAGCUCAAUUGGAUAGAGUAUCUGACUACGAAUCAGAAGGUUGUAGGUUCGAUCCCUGUCGGGCGCACCA
rnacentral:tRNA from 1 species